AUUGAACGCUGGCGGCAGGCCUAACACAUGCAAGUCGAACGAGUGGCGGACGGGGGAGUAAUGCUUGGGAAACUGCCUGAUGGAGGGGGAUAACUACGGGAAACUGUAGCUAAUACCGCGUACCAUAGGAUGAGCCCAAGUGGGAUUAGGUAGUUGGUGGGGUAACGGCUCACCAAGGCGACGAUCCCUAGCUGGUCUGAGAGGAUGACCAGCCACACUGGGACUGAGACACGGCCCAGACGCCUACGGGAGGCAGCAGUGGGGAAUAUUGCACAAUGGGCGCAAGCCUGAUGCAGCCAUGCCGCGUGAAUGAAGAAGGCCUUCGGGUUGUAAAGUUCUUUCGGUGGCGAGGCGUUAACCACAGAAGAAGCACCGGCUAACUCCGUGCCAGCCGCCGCGGUAAUAC
rnacentral:rRNA from 1 species